UCCCAUUUUAACAGAAAAACGAAAAAAUACAAACAGACCCACUCCACACAAACGACGACAAGAAACUACAUACUUGAGAUAUGAAACUUUCAACAUGGAAUUUUUAUUUUGUAGGCAAAGAAAGACGACUGACUAACUAUUCGAUAAAAGAAAUGCAACAACAAAUUUAAGUUUGAAGCAGAUAGUAAAAAAGAUUAAUGAAUUUAGGCAGAACGAAAAUUGGAAAAAAGUGAAUACAAUAACUUACUAUUUAAAUAAAGAAAUAUUAAUAAUAAUUACUUGUGCUUGUGAGUAAUAAUAAUAACAACCACCAAGGGCAGUUACAGGGCUCCAAUGAUGAAAUGCAACAAUGAUGUCAUUUUGCAAAACUUCGAGAACAAAUUUGUCUAAAAAAGAAGUGUAAAAAGUAACAACCUUCUCCAGAAGUCGAAAAUACUUUAAAA